AAGACGUUAGCUCAGUCGGGUAGAGCAGUGGCUUCGGUUGCCAUGUGACACCGGUUCGAAUCCGGUACGUC
rnacentral:tRNA from 1 species